GCAUGGCAAUGGAUUUAUGGUGGGGUCUUGUGUAGUGACUCCUUCAUAGUGUACCCCAUGCUAAAGUGAUCCACUGCUCCCAACCAUUGACAGAUCUGAACUUGUAGAUCUGAUCACUGAGGUGAGCAGCACAUCC